rnacentral:tRNA from 1 species
GGGUUGCUAGCUCAGCAGGUAGAGCAACUGACUCUUAAUCAGUAGGUUCGGAGUUCGAGUCUCCGGCAACCCACCA